rnacentral:rRNA from 1 species
UACGGGGGGGCAAGCGUUGUUCGGAAUUACUGGGCGUAAAGGGCUCGUAGGUGGCCAACUAAGUCAGACGUGAAAUCCCUCGGCUUAACCGGGGAACUGCGUCUGAUACUGGAUGGCUUGAGUUUGGGAGAGGGAUGCGGAAUUCCAGGUGUAGCGGUGAAAUGCGUAGAUAUUGGGAGGAACACCGGUGGCGAAGGCGGCCCCCUGGACCGGUACUGACGCUGAGGCGCGAAAGCGUGGGUAGCAAACAGG